CUCUACACACAGGGUUAUCUAUGGAGAGGUGUAUAAUACUGACCCCUCUACACACAGGGUUAUCUAUGGAGAGGUGUACAGUACUGACCCCUCUACACACAGGGUUAUCUAUGGAGAGGUGUAUAGUACUGACCCCUCUACACACAGGGUUAUCUAUGGAGAGGUGUAUAGUACUGACCCCUCUACACACAGGGUUAUCUAUGGAGAGGUGUAUAGUACUGACCAAUCUACACACAGGGUUAUCUAUGGAGAGGUGUAUAGUACUGACCAAUCUACACACAGGGUUAUCUAUGGAGAGGUGUAUGGUACUGACCCCUCUACACACAGGGUUAUCUAUGGAGAGGUGUACGGUACUGACCCCUCUACACACAGGGUUAUCUAUGGAGAGGUGUAGUGGUGUAUAAUACUGACCCCUCUACACACAGGGUUAUCUAUGGAGAGGUGUACAGUACUGACCCCUCUACACACAGGGUUAUCUAUGGAGAGGUGUAUAGUACUGACCCAUUUACACACAGGGUUAUCU